AUACUUAGCUGGCAGGGGAGAUACCCCGAUCUCAAAGGUGGUUUUCCCAGGGUGAGGCUUAUCCAGUGCACUGACCCCUGUGGUUUCCCCAAAUGUGGGAAACUCACUGCAUGAUUUGUGGUAGUGGGGGACUGCGUUUGCAUUCUCCCCUG
rnacentral:snRNA from 1 species